rnacentral:rRNA from 1 species
CAGGCGUCGAGCGGCGGACGGGUGAGUAACGCGUAGGAAUCUACCCAGUAGUGGGGGAUAGCCCGGGGAAACUCGGAUUAAUACCGCAUACGCCCUACGGGGGAAAGGCCGGGAUCUUCGGACCGGUCGCUAUUGGAUGAGCCUGCGUUGGAUUAGCUAGUUGGUAGGGUAAAGGCCUACCAAGGCGACGAUCUUUAGCUGGUCUGAGAGGAUGAUCAGCCACACUGGUACUGAGACACGGACCAGACUCC